UACGUGGGCAGCAAGCGUUGUUCGGAGUUACUGGGCGUAAAGGGUGCGUAGGCGGCUUUUUAAGUCUGGUGUGAAAUCUCCCGGCUCAACUGGGAGGGUGCGCCGGAUACUGAGGGGCUAGAGUGUGGGAGAGGAAAGUGGAAUUCCUGGUGUAGCGGUGAAAUGCGUAGAUAUCAGGAGGAACACCGGUGGUGUAAACGGCUUUCUGGACCAUAACUGACGCUGAGGCACGAAAGCGUGGGUAGCAAACAGG
rnacentral:rRNA from 1 species